GUUUAGUCUAGUUAGAGGAACCUGUUUUAUAAUCGAUAAACCACGUAAUAUCUUACUUAUUUUUGUAUAAAUUAGCUUGUAUACCAUCAUUAGCAGAUAAUUUUAUAGGGAGAAUUAAAUUAUUAUAGAUAAUUAUAUUAUGAAAAUUAGAUCAAGGUGCAGCUUAUAAAUAAGUUAGAAUGGGUUACAAUAAAUUUUAUUUAUAAUGAAAUAAGAUAAAAAUUAAUAAAACUUAAGAAGGAGGAUUUAAUUGUAAUAUGGGUUUAGUAUGCCCAGGAGAUAGAAGUUCUAAAUUAUGUACACAUCGCC
rnacentral:rRNA from 1 species